GGCUGGAACAAGACUGUGAGUUGUUGCGAGUGGGAAGGCGUGGAUUGUUCCUCACAACAAGGCCGAGUCAUAGGGCUCCAUCUUCAAUCUUUAACACUACCAAGUUCCGAUUUACUGAUAUUGACAAUCCAGAUGCUGUCUCACCUCCGUCAGCUGCACGUCUCAAGGAGCCAAUUUGCAGAACCAUUGAGCAGCAAUUUAAGUUUGCCAGGCUGUGAUUUGGAGAGCUUGUGCUCCACUGCAAAAACUCAUUACGGCUGCUAAAUCUCUCCCAUAACCAGCUUGAUGGUGAACUUGGAUCCAAUUCUGUGAUUGGCAGGACACUGGAGACACUCGACCUUUCAAACAACAACGUCAAUGGCACAGUUCCAUCCUCCCUAUUCCAAAGUUGUAACAGCCUGCACUACUUCAAUCUUUCAAACAAUGAAUUUGCUGGAAGUGUUCCAGCGCAGAUGGUUACCCACUGCCCCGUUCUAGAGGAUGUCAAUCUAGCAAGCAACAACUUUUUCGAGGCA